UUGAAAUCCUUAGGAUGUUGCUGGCCUUUCGGGGCAUGUGCACUCCGCCUUUUCAAUUCACCUGUGAACUCAUUGUAGGCCGGACUUUAAGUCUGUGUCUAUGUUUUUAUACAUACACCCUAUUAAAAAGUUUAACAGAAUGUCAUAUCAGACCUUUAUCGGUCGAAAUAAAUCAAUA
rnacentral:misc_RNA from 1 species